UGAAGCGGGAAAAGCUCAAAUUUAAAAUCUGGCAGUCUUUGGCUGUCCGAGUUGUAAUCUAGAGAAGUGUUAUCCGUGCUGGACCGUGUAUAAGUCUCCUGGAAUGGAGCGUCAUAGAGGGUGAGAAUCCCGUCUUUGACAUGGACUCCCAGUACAUUGUGAUACGCUCUCAAAGAGUCGAGUUGUUUGGGAAUGCAGCUCAAAAUGGGUGGUAAAUUCCAUCUAAAGCUAAAUAUUGGCGAGAGACCGAUAGCGAACAAGUACCGUGAGGGAAAGAUGAAAAGAACUUUGGAAAGAGAGUUAAACAGUACGUGAAAUUGUUGAAAGGGAAACGCUUGAAGUCAGUCGCACUGUCCAGGGAUCAACUUAACUCUUUUGUUGAGUGUACUUUCUGGUUAGUGGGUCAGCAUCAAUUUUGACCAUUGGAAAAAGGCUAAGGGAAUGUGGCACCUUUUGGUGUGUUAUAGCCCUAGUUGUAUACAAUGGUUGGGAUUGAGGAACUCAGCACGCCGCAAGGCCGGGUUUUUUAACCACGUUCGUGCUUAGGAUGCUGGCAUAAUGGCUUUAAUCGACCCGUCUUGAAACACGGACCAAGGAGUCUAACAUGCCUGCGAGUGUUUGGGUGGAAAACUCGAGCGCGUAAUGAAAGUGAAAGUUGAGAUCCUUGUCAUGGGGAGCAUCGACGCCCAGACCUGAACUUUUGGGAUGGAUCUGCGGUAGAGCAUGUAUGUUGGGACCCGAAAGAUGGUGAACUAUGCCUGAAUAGGGUGAAGCCAGAGGAAACUCU
rnacentral:rRNA from 2 species